UACGGGGGGAGCAAGCGUUGUUCGGAUUUACUGGGCGUAAAGGGCGCGUAGGCGGUCAGCACAAGUCAGUUGUGAAAUCUCCGGGCUUAACUCGGAAAGGUCAACCGAUACUGUGCGACUAGAGUGCAGAAGGGGCAACUGGAAUUCUCGGUGUAGCGGUGAAAUGCGUAGAUAUCGAGAGGAACACCAAUGGCGAAGGCAGCUCGCUGGAACGGUACUGACGCUGAGGCGCGAAAGCGUGGGGAGCAAACAGG
rnacentral:rRNA from 1 species